UGAUCGAGGUCAGCUAUUUUCCUGCAUCCAGCGGCCACAAUAGUCAUCGGUGUACUGCUACAGGAGGAGACAUUUUUUUGAAUAACCUGUCCCUUUUCUCUCAGGUUAUGAAAAGAUUACUUAAUUGUAUUAUUAUUCUCUAAAUUUAUAAUUUAGGACUCCGCAUGUGCUAGUAGUAGCAUUAAGCCUGUCAGGGACUGUAUGAAUUCAAGUUUUCGUAUUAAUAAAUGAAAAGAAAAAAUUUUAUGAGUUUUAAAUGGUUAUAAAUGAGGUAACAGGGUUGAGCUGGGCUCCCCAAA